ACUAGAUGUUGGAUCCUGAUCAAAAGCACUAUUUUAUAGAAUACAUAAUAUAUUCUUUUAGUUGAAUUCAAAACUAUUUUUAUACAUUAAAAUAUUUGGAGGAAAAAAAAAAGGUUAGUGGGGGGUGGGGAGCUUUUGUACUUGUAUUAUAUAGAAAUCCUUCAACUGGUGCGAUGAACAGUGUUUUGUUGCGCACUGCUAUAUUGAUUUUUGUGAUUUCAUUUUUUAAGCCUGUUGACAACAUUUGCAAUAAUAAAUCGAUUUUCAUCUUACUCGACUGUGGGCAAGAUUGAGGAAAGUCAAUGUUAAAGUCACUAUGUAGUAAAGUUCAG